CCACUUAAGAAAGAGUAUUUCACACAAUCGGUUCCUCCGCCCCAUCUCUGAACAGGAAACCGGUGGAUGAUUCGCCCUUGAUUCACAGCUAAUUGUUCUUAAUUGCCUCACCUGGUUGGGAGAUUAUGUUACCAGGUCAGGUGAGCGGACCCUGCAAUCCCGAGCCAGGAGAAGGUCUUGGAGAACCUUCCCGUUCGUUCCUCUUGGUCCCCGUGUGAUUCAGCUGCCACCAGUGAGGAGGACACCUGUGACUCCUGGAACUCCUGUUUAUCUUUUAGGCCAAGUACCUCUGCUAGGGGAGCUGUGGCGUACUCAUCGGUAGCUUUGUUUUUGACCAUUCCACAUCCAUCUUUCUCCUGCUUAAAACAGCAGAGGACGGAAGGAUGAUAGCUCUAGAUGAGACAUGAUCUACAAACCAAACCACAAGACCCUUGGAGACAUCAGGAAGAUGCAAAUCAAUUUUCUGCCAAUUUUUUGUUGUUAUGGUUCUGGCAGAUGUGACUUGUCUUUGGCAGCAAAAUACUCCAGUGAAAGAAAUCAAAAUUAAAUGCUGCCUGCAAUUGAAUACUGCCA